rnacentral:rRNA from 1 species
GCGGAGGGCCUACCAUGCAAGUCGAGCGGUAGCACAGAGAGCUUGCUCUCGGGUGACGAGCGGCGGACGGGUGAGUAAUGUCUGGGAAACUGCCUGAUGGAGGGGGAUAACUACUGGAAACGGUAGCUAAUACCGCAUAACGUCGCAAGACCAAAGUGGGGGACCUUCGGGCCUCAUGCCAUCAGAUGUGCCCAGAUGGGAUUAGCUAGUAGGUGGGGUAAUGGCUCACCUAGGCGACGAUCCCUAGCUGGUCUGAGAGGAUGACCAGCCACACUGGAACUGAGACACGGUCCAGACUCCUACGGGAGGCAGCAGUGGGGAAUAUUGCACAAUGGGCGCAAGCCUGAUGCAGCCAUGCCGCGUGUAUGAAGAAGGCCUUCGGGUUGUAAAGUACUUUCAGCGAGGAGGAAGGCGUUAAGGUUAAUAACCUUAGCGAUUGACGUUACUCGCAGAAGAAGCACCGGCUAACUCCGUGCCAGCAGCCGCGGUAAUACGGAGGGUGCAAGCGUUAAUCGGAAAUUACUGGGCGUAAAGCGCACGCAGGCGGUCUGUCAAGUCGGAUGUGAAAUCCCCGGGCUCAACCUGGGAACUGCAUUCGAAACUGGCAGGCUAGAGUCUUGUAGAGGGGGGUAGAAUUCCAGGUGUAGCGGUGAAAUGCGUAGAGAUCUGGAGGAAUACCGGUGGCGAAGGCGGCCCCCUGGACAAAGACUGACGCUCAGGUGCGAAAGCGUGGGGAGCAAACAGGAUUAGAUACCCUGGUAGUCCACGCCGUAAACGAUGUCGACUUGGAGGUUGUGCCCUUGAGGCGUGGCUUCCGGAGCUAACGCGUUAAGUCGACCGCCUGGGGAGUACGGCCGCAAGGUUAAAACUCAAAUGAAUUGACGGGGGCCCGCACAAGCGGUGGAGCAUGUGGUUUAAUUCGAUGCAACGCGAAGAACCUUACCUACUCUUGACAUCCAGAGAACUUAGCAGAGAUGCUUUGGUGCCUUCGGGAACUCUGAGACAGGUGCUGCAUGGCUGUCGUCAGCUCGUGUUGUGAAAUGUUGGGUUAAGUCCCGCAACGAGCGCAACCCUUAUCCUUUGUUGCCAGCGGUCCGGCCGGGAACUCAAAGGAGACUGCCAGUGAUAAACUGGAGGAAGGUGGGGAUGACGUCAAGUCAUCAUGGCCCUUACGAGUAGGGCUACACACGUGCUACAAUGGCAUAUACAAAGAGAAGCGACCUCGCGAGAGCAAGCGGACCUCAUAAAGUAUGUCGUAGUCCGGAUUGGAGUCUGCAACUCGACUCCAUGAAGUCGGAAUCGCUAGUAAUCGUAGAUCAGAAUGCUACGGUGAAUACGUUCCCGGGCCUUGUACCCACCGCCCGUCACACCAUGGGAGUGGGUUGCAAAAGAAGUAGGUAGCUUAACCUCGGAGGCGCU